GCCGAUGUAGCUCAGUUGGUAGAGCACCUCCAUGGUAAGGAGAUGGUCCUCGGUUCAAAUCCGAGCGUCGGCU
rnacentral:tRNA from 1 species